GGUGGUAUCCCAGUUCUCUCUGUAGCUGUAGGAGGAGGAGGUCAGGUGAACGUUACCUGUUUAUCAGAGGGAUGGUCACCACAACCUAAACUUUCAUGGAAAAACAAAGAGGGGACAGAGAUCAGAAAUAAACAAGAAGUACUCAACACCUCUGAUCCCCAGGGCUUGGUGAGUGUCAGUAGUUGGCUGCUGUAUGCUCCCUCAUACUCCGAUUGGCUCGCCUGUACAGUCUCUCUGUCUGAGGAGGCGAAGAGAGAGGGCAGAAUUCUGCCACAUAUAUACACAGCUCCUACAGCUGUACCUGGAGUUUACAAAAAGGCCUUCAUUGUGACUCUGCUCCUGUUGGUCCUGUCUCUGGUCAUCAUCUGUGCUCUGUGCUCUGUCAUCCUGUGGAAGCGAAGAGGGUCCAUGUGGUCUUCAUCCCGAAAGUCCAG